UGUCAAUCUCAAUCUCCCAAUUUAUUCGUCUCCCCCUUACCCCCUGGUAAUCAUGCCUUGAGGGCCAUGAGGCAAAUCUCUAGGUGCCUUCACAUAAGAAAUUUACUCUACCCUAUAAGAUCUAAAACAGUCAAGGAAGAAACGUGGAUUUCACAUUCACAACCAUUUUUUCCUUUCAAAAACAUGCAUCCGUAACUGUGUCCCUGCAUUCAGUAGAGUUCGACUUUACAUCUGCGAGUGAGUUACACACGGGGAGUGGAGGCCCAGACAGAAGUUAUCUCUCAGCGACAGACCGGUAGGAGGGCCGAGAUGAAAACCUGGCUCCUUGCCUCCGAAAGCAGCGUCUUAGCAAAGGUCAGAUGCUUUAUGUAUUAAAUCACUCACUGGACGACUUGUCAGUUAAACACACGCCGGAUGCUAGGAGAGAGAUGAAGAGGCAGUAGCCCUGCCUUCAGAGAACUCAUUGGACUAAAGCAUUGGACGUCAGGUGUUUUCUGGUGAACCAGGCAAAUACCUUCUGGAGGGAAACUUCAAUCCCCACCUGCCUGACUGGGGGCGGGGGUGGGGAUCCUCUAGGCUCCGCUUAAAUGCUUGCGAUCACAACACCCCAGGGUGGAGACAGGCUCCUCCCUACAUCGGAGUGGGCGAGAAAAGCCCUCUUUGUCUCCACCUUUCUCUGUCUUCACACCUCCCACAGGUCACCCGAGAACUCACCUCCGAUCCAGGCGGGACCUUCUACCCUUGCGUCUGAGAAGAGACAGCACUGCCUCCUGGUGGCCAACUCGAGGCUCUACAGAGUGGCAAGCCGGCCAGAGCCACCUUCUCUGGAUCGAUUCGGAGAGGGAAAGGGGACAGGCUUCCCCCUGUUCUUCAGCAAAUAAAGGGAACCCUCAUGAGGCCACAGGUGUGUGUUGAGGGCAAAGCAGUAGACACAGAAAGACUCCAGGUAUUGACAUCACUCAAUCUAUACGGCAGUUCAUGGAACUUUGUUGUCCCCGGCAUUGAGAACACAUUUAUUUUACUCGAAUGCCAAACAGAAAAUCCCUGAGAUCACCGCUGUGUAGAAGCAGACGCAUAAACUGGAAGUAAUAUCCCUGUCAGAUUUCUGGCCUCAUGGUUAUACUGGCCUCAUAAAAAUACUGAGAAGUGUUUUCUCCUCCUCCCCUUCCUGGAAAAGAAAUGUGCAAAAAUGGUGGGAUCUCCUGCAACUCACUACAUCCCAGCUGCUGAAGUGUCCAUUUGAAGCUGUGUUCGUGUCUGGGGUGUGGAUGUGAAUAAAUCACCCUUGGGGUCAGAAAGAAAUAAACGCCAAUUUAAAUAGUUCUCUGGGUAAAUUUUGAUUUCAUCGGUUUUACACACACUGAAAAUAAAUGGUCUUUGCUACCGCCCAUGUUUCCACAUGAAGUGAUGCAGACCGUGUACUGCCCGAAGCUUUCAAGCCUAGGAGACAAGUGGAGGUUGAAACACAACCUCAGCUUUUUUCUCCCAGUUUAUCCUCUCAAAGGAAAAUCUGUUCUUAAUUCAUCCACGGCUCCGUGUGCAAAGGCGAGCAGCGACCCCAGUAUCGUUGCUCUGUCUACAGAUCGAUAAACUCGUCCCCCACAUUAUGGCUACU